UCCGCGCGUGUUUGUCUUGCGGGGUGGGGAGGGCGGUGCGUGUCCGUGAGUCACCGGCUUAGCCUGCAGGGGCUGCGGGGGUGUGGGUGUGAGAGAGGUGAGCCCGCGGAGACACGGAGGGAGACAGAGACACAGACAGCUGCAGGGAGAGACCGAUCUGUGAGAGACAACACACCCAAGCCCCACUGGGAGCCACCCUGUGCCCUGGAUCCUGAGAGGAGCACAGUGAACCUUACAGACUCAGAGCCGAGAGCCGUCAUUGACAGGUCUCAGUGCUGCCUCUGGAAAACGGGCGAGGGAGAGAAGCCUGGAAGGCUGGGAUGAGGUAAUCCACAACCUCGCAGGGCAGGGGGCGCAGUGCACAAACUUGGAAUAGCACCCUGAUUCCCACCAGCCAGAAACUUCGUCCUCCCUGGAGUGUCCCCACCCUGCCCCCCAGGAAGACAAUCUCCGGGGCUCUGUGUGAUGGGGGUGGGACCCGCGCCCAGGAAGCUGUCCUGCCUCGGGUGUUGUUGGAGCUUAAUAACAGCUUCAUUGAAAUAUAAUUCACAUACCACACAGUUCACCCAUGAAGUGUUCA